UGCAGUCCUGCGAGCUCCCGUUCGUCUUUGUCUAUUUCUUUAUUUUUUGUUGUUUUUCGUACUGCUAACUGCACAUACUGUUUGCUCGGUGAUUAGAUAUGACCGACAAACACUUAUAGACAUAAGAUCGAAUAUUGGCACAGUUAAAUCUACACCAAUAAUUACUGCCGACUGUCUGGACUGUGGUGUCUCACCUGUACCUGUACUGGGAUGAAGACAGCGUCGUAGGAAGAGGGCGUUAUUCCACUUGGAAACAAGAGUAACAUCAUCAGAAUCUCAAGAUUUACCUCUGGGUAACGCACAGGUCAUCGUUGUGGGCGUGUCUGAUACAGGACGUGUCCCUCUCACCUGUGUCUGGUCACACAUUAGCAGCUAUGAGGAGCUGUUGAGGAGAGACUGCAGAAAGAUCUGUGUGCUGAAGCUGUUGGACACAAUCUGCUUGAAGCUGGGUAGUUUGGAAUCAAGGAAGAGCAAAGAAACAGACUCGCCGGAGUCCGUGAGGAAAACUCAAUGAAACACUAAAAGAGUCCCCAAUCUCUUUUCCUCAUGGAAAUGCCUGUAAAAGUGCACAUCAGUCCAAGAAUUCCGUGAGGAAUGGAGGCGGAGGCCCAGGGACACGU